GAUGAACGCUGGCGGCGUGCCUUAUACAUGCAAGUCGAGCGAACGGACGAGAAGCUUGCUUCUCUGAUGUUAGCGGCGGACGGGUGAGUAACACGUGGAUAACCUACCUAUAAGACUGGGAUAACGUCGGGAAACCGGAGCUAAUACCGGAUAAUAUUUUGAACCGCAUGGUUCAAAAGUGAAAGACGGUCUUGCUGUCACUUAUAGAUGGAUCCUCGCUGCAUUAGCUAGUUGGUAAGGUAACGGCUUACCAAGGCAACGAUGCAUAGCCGACCUGAGAGGGUGAUCGGCCACACUGGAACUGAGACACGGUCCAGACUCCUACGGGAGGCAGCAGUAGGGAAUCUUCCGCAAUGGGCGAAAGCCUGACGGAGCAACGCCGCGUGAGUGAUGAAGGUCUUCGGAUCGUAAAACUCUGUUAUUAGGGAAGAACAUAUGUGUAAGUAACUGUGCACAUCUUGACGGUACCUAAUCAGAAAGCCACGGCUAACUACGUG
rnacentral:rRNA from 1 species